GACGUAGGGCGCGAGCGUUGUCCGGAUUUAUUGGGCGUAAAGAGCUCGUAGGCGGCUCGUUGCGUCGGCUGUGAAAACCCGCAGCUCAACUGUGGGCUUGCAGCCGAUACGGGCGGGCUGGGAUUCGGUAGGGGAGACUGGAAUUCCUGGUGUAGCGGUGAAAUGCGCAGAUAUCGGGAGGAACACCAAUGGCGAAGGCAGCUCGCUGGGACGUGACUGACGCUGAGACGCGAAAGCGUGGGGAGCAAACAGGG
rnacentral:rRNA from 1 species